rnacentral:rRNA from 1 species
AACGAACGCUGGCGGCGUGCCUAACACAUGCAAGUCGAACGUGUUGAAGAGCUUGCUCUUCAUGAAAGUGGCGCACGGGUGAGUAACGCGUAGAUAAUCUACCUGGUGAUUUGGGAUAACAGUUCGAAAGGACUGCUAAUACCGAAUAAGCCCACGGAGUCUUUGGAUUCUGCGGGAAAAGGGGGGGACCUUAUGGCCUUCCGUCAUCAGAUGAGUCUGCGUACCAUUAGCUAGUUGGUAGGGUAAAGGCCUACCAAGGCGACGAUGGUUAGCUGGUCUGAGAGGAUGAUCAGCCACACUGGAACUGAGACACGGUCCAGACUCCUACGGGAGGCAGCAGUGGGGAAUUUUGCGCAAUGGGGGAAACCCUGACGCAGCAACGCCGCGUGAGUGAUGAAGGCCCUUGGGUCGUAAAGCUCUGUGGGAAGGAAAGAAAACGUUGCAGGCGAAUAGGCUGCGACCUUGACGGUACCUUCUCAGAAAGCACCGGCUAACUCUGUGCCAGCCGCCGCGGUAAGAC